UUUUUCUGUUGGUAGUUGGUACAAUAAUGGUUUGUGUUUUCAUUAUGCUAUUUUUGUCAAUUAGGUUGGGUUGCUUGAUUGAUGACUUUGUUGGUUAUGCAUGGCCUACUAUUCAGGAAGAUUUAAGUCAACUCAUGAAUUUUUGUUUCUCUUUUUCCUUAUUGCUGGUGAUAAAGUUCAAUGUUUCAAUAAUUUUUCAUGAUACUUGAUUUCUGCUGCUUAUUUGAUCUCAAUAACUCCUUUUUCAAAUCCAUCUUCUAACUAUUGGAUUAUAAACUAUCUAAGAGAACUUUUAGCAUGCUAUUCUUCAUUUUGCACUAAAAGACUUACUUUAUAUGAUUUGUGUUACAGUUAAUAAUAUAUAUAUAUAUAUAUUUUUGAUGUCGGGAAACCUCUCCAUGGUAGGGCUCUUCGGACCAACCCUUGCAGAGUAAACCCCGGUCUCAUGUGUCAAAGUGUAUAAAUUGGCCCAAUGAAAUGGCCUUGAGAUUUCUGUUUAUUAUAUAAACUAUACAAAGAAUUCUAUACAUGGAAAGAAAUAAGUAUAUGCUAAUUCUAUCCCUAUACAAUCUGUCAAAUAUUAUGCUAAUUGUACAGAAGAGUAAAUCAAGGAAUAAAUAAGGAAAGAAAUAUAGAAAGGAAUAUGGACAGCAAAGCUAUCUAUUAAUAGCCACCUUCAAAUUGAUGCUUCUUGAUCAACAAGCAUCAAUUUGCUACUUAGGAAGCAAUGUCGAUUGUGAGUGAAAGCCUUGGUGAAGAUAUUAACAAUUUGUAGUUCAGUGGAAAUAUGUGGAAGAGUGAUGACACGAGUUUCAAAGGCUUCAUGGAUAGAAUGACAGUCAACUUCAAUAUGCUUUGUGCGCUCACGAUAGACAGGAUUGCUGUGAUCUGAAUAGCAUGUGUAUUAUCGGUGUGUAAAGGUGUUGGAUCGGUAUCAGAGAAGUCUAAUUCAGAGAUCAACGCAUCACUUAAGAACACACAUCAGCCAGUGAUGGAGCGACGCGUAUAAGCACAACCAGCCCAAUCAGCUCUAUAAGCAGUAAGGCGAGGAGAAUUGCCUGCAAGAAAGAAUAAGCCAUGGGUAGAAGUGCCCUGAACAUGGAGUAUGAUCCUACGGACAGCAACCAAAUGAAGAUGACGAGGAGUUUGAAGAAACUGGUUGACUUGUUGUACAACAAAAGAAAUGUCUGGUUUAGUAAUGGUGAGAUAGAUAAGGUUACCCACCAACUUCCGGUAUAAGCUGGGAUCAGUAAGUAAGUCACCCUCUUCUUUGCCAAGUUUGACAUUUAAUUCUAUGGGAGUAUCAAUAGAGGUAGCCUCCUGUAGGCUAGCUGUAGCCACCUAGUCACUAGCAUACUUAUGUUGAUUGAGUGAAAGACCAGAGAGACUACGAUGCACCUCAAGACCAAGAAAAUAUGUGAGAGACCCAAGGUUUUUCAUAUGAAAGGACUUUGAGAGAAGAGUGCAACAAUACCCCUAUCUGAUUUCCGAAGAAACAAUAAAGUGUCAUAUUUGCUCUGUUUGAAUGAAAAUUGUAAUAAAGUGGUGCGAAAUUUAUAAAACCAGGCCCUCGGAGCUUGUUUGAGACCAUAAAGAGAGCGACGAAGCUUAUACACGUGAAGCCAGAGAGGGAAACAAUCCCGAGAGUGGCUUCAUAUAAAUACAAAUGUGAAGCUAGAGAGGGAAACAAUCCUGGGAGUAGCAUCAUUAGAAACCCCGUUAUGAUUAAAAGUAUCACAUAACUCCAGAAAAUUAGCUAUGUGAGCAUUUGAAUCAUCAUGUGGCAUGCCACUAAAUUGCACCGUUGAAGCCAUCGUUUGAAGAAUAGUUGGCUUUAUCUCAAAGUUAUUGGCUUGAAUGACAGGUCUUCUAAUGCUAGAAGUAGCUCCGGUGGCCAAAGGGACAAUAUAAUCUCCCAAAGUCCGAUUUCCAACUUGAUCUUCCAUUGCUUCGUUCUUGGUUGUGAAGUCCUCCUUCUCCUUGUUCAAAUGAUGAAGGGUGCGUUCAAUUUCAAGGUCAAAAGGUACUAAAUCCAAGUUUUUAGUACAUCUCAUGCAUAACUCGGGAAUCCUGAAAAGGAAAAUAAAAACAAAAUUAACAAUCAAGACUUAAAAUGAAAAAAAAAAAAUUUAAAUUAA